CACGUAGGGCGCGAGCGUUGUCCGGAAUUAUUGGGCGUAAAGAGCUCGUAGGCGGCCUGUUGCGUCCGCUGUGAAAACCCGGGGCUUAACCCCGGGUCUGCAGUGGAUACGGGCAGGCUAGAGGUAGGUAGGGGAGAAUGGAAUUCCCGGUGUAGCGGUGAAAUGCGCAGAUAUCGGGAGGAACACCGGUGGCGAAGGCGGUUCUCUGGGCCUUACCUGACGCUGAGGAGCGAAAGCGUGGGGAGCGAACAGG
rnacentral:rRNA from 1 species